rnacentral:misc_RNA from 1 species
GGAAGUAAAAGUCGUAAUAAGGUCUCCGUUGGUGAACCAGCGGAGGGAUCAUUACCGAGUUUACAACUCCCAAACCCAAUGUGAACCAUACCAAACUGUUGCCUCGGCGGGGUCACGCCCCGGGUGCGUCGCAGCCCCGGAACCAGGCGCCCGCCGGAGGGACCAACCAAACUCUUUCUGUAGUCCCCUCGCGGACGUUAUUUUUACAGCUCUGAGCAAAAAUUCAAAAUGAAUCAAAACUUUCAACAACGGAUCUCUUGGUUCUG